rnacentral:rRNA from 1 species
CGGACGGGUGAGUAACACGUGGAUAACCUACCUAUAAGACUGGGAUAACUUCGGGAAACCGGAGCUAAUACCGGAUAAUAUUUUGAACCGCAUGGUUCAAAAGUGAAAGACGGUCUUGCUGUCACUUAUAGAUGUAUCCGCGCUGCAUUAGCUAGUUGGUAAGGUAACGGCUUACCAAGGCAACGAUGCAUAGCCUACCUUAGAGGGUGAUCGGCCACACUGGAACUGAGACACGGUCCAG